AGGAAAAUAAUUGAGACAGAGCAUAUUUUCGAUAUGCGUCAGAUAAUUACAAAAUAUAGAAAAUAAAAUCUGAUAUUCGAAAAUUCCAGUUAUUAUGUUGCACUACUCAAGCAUUCUUUUAGCAAUGAUCAUGUUCCUGCCUGGUAGCUCACAGGAGUCAGUGUGUAAACUGUACAGAGUUUUGGCACAGCGGGCGUUUGAUAGAUGAAACGGGAUACUUUUGUGAACGCGGUGCCUCAAUAUCUGAAGUUUACUUGAAAGAGGAGGACUACGCGACUAGUACACCGAAUCCAAACAGUUUGUGGGCUACCUGCGUACCAUAUCCAUACCGAUUAGAGCAUGUCGCAAAAUAUUGCUGUUUCUGGUCGCAAAACUUUGGCUGCAAUGCCGCUAUAGGCGUUACUAUUUACCCUUAUGGAAAUCCUGUAAGGUUUUGCGAAAAGUGCAGGAAUAAAUGCUCUCGCCCUGCUGACAGUGUUGGGCUAGCACCCACAAAGUGGUUCAUUAUAUGCUGUCUGUCGAUCAUGCGAGUGCUAUGACUGAGUUCCUAGACUAUAGAAGUUUUUUAAUUUAUCGUAAAGUCCUUUCCCAGAUUUAGAAAUUUUGUCGCGUAUGCUAGUGUCAGAUUUAUAAUUAGUUUUCAUUAUAUAAAUAACUAUUCAUAAUGAUAA